GACGAACGCUGGCGGCGUGCCUAAUACAUGCAAGUCGAACGAGAGCGACCGGUGCUUGCACUGGUCAAUCUAGUGGCGAACGGGUGAGUAACACGUGUGUAACCUGCCCAUCAGAGGGGGAUAACAUCCGGAAACGGAUGCUAAAACCGCAUAGGUCUUCGAGCCGCAUGGCUUGAAGAGGAAAAGAGGCGCAAGCUUCUGCUGAUGGAUGGACCCGCGGUGCAUUAGCUAGUUGGUGAGGUAACGGCUCACCAAGGCCGUGAUGCAUAGCCGACCUGAGAGGGUGAUCGGCCACAUUGGGACUGAGACACGGCCCAAACUCCUACGGGAGGCAGCAGUAGGGAAUCUUCCGCAAUGGACGCAAGUCUGACGGAGCAACGCCGCGUGAGUGAAGAAGGUUUUCGGAUCGUAAAACUCUGUUGUUAGAGAAGAACAAGUGCUAGAGUAACUGUUAGCGCCUUGACGGUAUCUAACCAGAAAGCCACGGCUAACUACGUG
rnacentral:rRNA from 1 species